rnacentral:lncRNA from 1 species
AUGUUGAUGUGUCUCACCACUCUGCUGCCAGAUGAAUCGAAGCCACAGGGAGGGGAGCCCCAGGUCAAUCAGAGGAGCUGCAGGACAAGAAUUUUAGCUUACAGUAAAGUUUCAGUGAUGGUCACGGAUCUGCACAGCCACAGGUGGAUGUGUAUGGCAUGUAGACCAGGAAUGGUCUUCAUUAAGCAUAAGGCUCUGCUUAGGUCUGAUAUACCCAGACUUGUAUUACUUUCUCCUAGCCCCCACAGUUUCCCAAGAAAUUCACACUGCAGACACAGGUAUAUCAUUAAGAGGCUUCUUGAAGUGGUAAGAAAAUGGCACUGCACUUAA